rnacentral:rRNA from 1 species
CGGACCAAACUCCUACGGGAGGCAGCAGUGAGGAAUAUUGGUCAAUGGCCGAGAGGCUGAACCAGCCAAGUCGCGUGAGGGAUGAAGGUUCUAUGGAUCGUAAACCUCUUUUAUAAGGGAAUAAAGUGCGGGACGUGUCCCGUUUUGUAUGUACCUUAUGAAUAAGGAUCGGCUAACUCCGUGCCAGCAGCCGCGGUAAUACGGAGGAUCCGAGCGUUAUCCGGAUUUAUUGGGUUUAAAGGGUGCGUAGGCGGCCUUUUAAGUCAGCGGUGAAAGUCUGUGGCUCAACCAUAGAAUUGCCGUUGAAACUGGGGGGCUUGAGUAUGUUUGAGGCAGGCGGAAUGCGUGGUGUAGCGGUGAAAUGCAUAGAUAUCACGCAGAACCCCGAUUGCGAAGGCAGCCUGCCAAGCCAUUACUGACGCUGAUGCACGAAAGCGUGGGGAUCAAACAGGAUUAGAUACCCUGGUAGUCCACGCAGUAAACGAUGAUCACUAGCUGUUUGCGAUACACUGUAAGCGGCACAGCGAAAGCGUUAAGUGAUCCACCUGGGGAGUACGCCGGCAACGGUGAAACUCAAAGGAAUUGACGGGGGCCCGCACAAGCGGAGGAACAUGUGGUUUAAUUCGAUGAUACGCGAGGAACCUUACCCGGGCUUAAAUUGCAGAUGAAUUACGGUGAAAGCCGUAAGCCGCAAGGCAUCUGUGAAGGUGCUGCAUGGUUGUCGUCAGCUCGUGCCGUGAGGUGUCGGCUUAAGUGCCAUAACGAGCGCAACCCUUGCCACUAGUUACUAACAGGUGAUGCUGAGGACUCUGGUGGGACUGCCAGCGUAAGCUGCGAGGAAGGCGGGGAUGACGUCAAAUCAGCACGGCCCUUACAUCCGGGGCGACACACGUGUUACAAUGGCGUGGACAAAGGGAGGCCACCUGGCGACAGGGAGCGAAUCCCCAAACCACGUCUCAGUUCGGAUCGGAGUCUGCAACCCGACUCCGUGAAGCUGGAUUCGCUAGUAAUCGCGCAUCAGCCAUGGCGCGGUGAAUACGU